UUAUUUGCAGAAGGAAACUUGGGAUUAACAAGCAUUUUGGUGGUUAAAUAUCAUCAUUCCAGUCCAGUUGAAGACUCUCUAUAUCAUUCCGGUCCAGAGAGCUUAUCCUGUCCGUCUGGUCUUCAAUUCAACCCAACAAG